rnacentral:lncRNA from 1 species
AGGGAACCAGUAUUGUGCCUCGCGUCGAGUUCAGCGCGAUUCGUGCUGCUCUUGUGCGCAUGAGCGAAGAGGACGCUUCGCCGGGACUUUUACAAAGGGAGCGCAGACACGGGAGAGGGACGUAUAAACAAACUUCCUUGGAAAAAAAGAUAUUCUAGUUGCACUCCUCAAGAAGUCUGUGACCUCUUAGACCACAAUAAACCUAUGAUAG